UUUGGGAAAUGAUGCGAAUCAAUAUAUCGCUAUUUUCAGAGGCUCAGUGAAAAUCUGUUGCUCUGCUGAACAUAUCAUAUUUGCACGUCAGUCUGAUCCCAUU